rnacentral:rRNA from 1 species
AGUGAACGCUGGCGGUAGGCCUAACACAUGCAAGUCGAACGGCAGCACAGUAAGAGCUUGCUCUUACGGGUGGCGAGUGGCGGACGGGUGAGGAAUACAUCGGAAUCUACUUUUUCGUGGGGGAUAACGUAGGGAAACUUACGCUAAUACCGCAUACGACCUACGGGUGAAAGCAGGGGAUCUUCGGACCUUGCGCGAUUGAAUGAGCCGAUGUCGGAUUAGCUAGUUGGCGGGGUAAAGGCCCACCAAGGCGACGAUCCGUAGCUGGUCUGAGAGGAUGAUCAGCCACACUGGAACUGAGAUACGGUCCAGACGCCUACGGGAGGCAGCAGUGGGGAAUAUUGGACAAUAGGCGCAAGCCUGAUCCAGCCAUACCGCGUGGGUGAAGAAGGCCUUCGGGUUGUAAAGCCCUUUUGUUGGGAAAGAAAAGCAGCAGGUUAAUACCCCGCUGUUCUGACGGUACCCAAAGAAUAAGCACCGGCUAACUUCGUG